AACGAACGCUGGCGGCAUGCCUAACACAUGCAAGUCGAACGAGAUCUUCGGGUCUAGUGGCGCACGGGUGCGUAACGCGUGGGAAUCUGCCCUUUGGUUCGGAAUAACAGUUGGAAACGACUGCUAAUACCGGAUGAUGACGAAAGUCCAAAGAUUUAUCGCCAGAGGAUGAGCCCGCGUAGGAUUAGCUAGUUGGUGUGGUAAAGGCGCACCAAGGCGACGAUCGUUAGCUGGUCUGAGAGGAUGAUCAGCCACACUGGGACUGGGACACGGCCCAGACUCCUACGGGAGGCAGGAGUGGGGAAUAUUGGACAAUGGGCGAAAGCCUGAUCCAGCAAUGCCGCGUGAGUGAUGAAGGCCUUAGGGUUGUAAAGCUCUUUUACCCGGGAUGAUAAUGACAGUACCGGGAGAAUAAGCUCCGACUAACUCCGUGCCAGCCGCCGCGGUAA
rnacentral:rRNA from 1 species